AUUGAACGCUGGCGGCAUGCCUACCACAUGCAAGUCGAACGGCAGCACGGGGCUUCCUGGUCGCGAGCGGCGAACGGGUGAGUAACGCAUCGGUACGUCACUUUCAGUGGGGGAUAACGUAGCGAAAGUUACGCUUAUACAGCAUUUUCUGUGAGCAGGAAACGAGGGGAUCGCAAGCACUUGCGCUGAUUGAGCGGCCGGUGUCAGAUUAGCUAGUUGGUGAGGUAAUGCCACACCAAGGCGACGAACUGUAGCGGGUCUGCGAGGAUUGUCCGCCGCGAUGGAACUGAGACACGGUCCAGACUCCUACGGGUGUCAGCAGUGGGGAAUUUUGGACAUUGGGGGCAACCCUGAUCCAGCCAUGCCGCGUGAGUGAAGAAGGCCUUCGGGUUGUAAAGCUCUUUCGACCGGGAAGAAAUCGUAUGGGUUAAUACCCUGUGCGGAUGACGGUACCGACAUAAGAAGCACCGGCUAACUACGUGCCAGCCGCCGCCGUAAUAC
rnacentral:rRNA from 1 species